AUUGAACGCUGGCGGCAGGCCUAACACAUGCAAGUCGAACGGUAACAGGAAACAGCUUGCUGUUUCGCUGACGAGUGGCGGACGGGUGAGUAAUGUCUGGGAAACUGCCUGAUGGAGGGGGAUAACUACUGGAAACGGUAGCUAAUACCGCAUAACGUCGCAAGACCAAAGAGGGGGACCCUCGGGCCUCUUGCCAUCGGAUGUGCCCAGAUGGGAUUAGCUUGUUGGUGGGGUAACGGCUCACCAAGGCGACGAUCCCUAGCUGGUCUGAGAGGAUGACCGGCCACACUGGAACUGAGACACGGUCCAGAGUCCUACGGGAGGCAGCAGUGGGGAAUAUUGCACAAUGGGCGAAAGCCUGAUGCAGCCAUGCCGCGUGUAUGAAGAAGGCCUUCGGGUUGUAAAGUACUUUCAGCGGGGAGGAAGGGAGUAAAGUUAAUACCUUUGCUCAUUGACGUUACCCGCAGAAGAAGCACCGGCUAACUCCGUG
rnacentral:rRNA from 1 species